rnacentral:rRNA from 1 species
CCCUUAGAUGUUCUGGGCCGCACGCGUGCUACACUGAGUGGAUCAGCGGGUCAGGUUACGCGAGAGCGUUUCCUAAUCUUCAAAUCCGCUCGUGAUGGGGAUUGACGGUUGCAAUUUUCCGUCAUGAACGAGGAAUACCUUGUAAGCGCGGGUCAUCAUCCCGCGCUGAAUACGUCCCUGCCCUUUGUACACACCGCCCGUCGCUCCUACCGAUUGAGUGGUCCGGUGAGGCUUUGGGAUCUAAGCGAAAAGAGCGUUUCGCUCCUUUUGCUGGGAGAACUCAGUCGAACCUUAUCAUUUAGAGGAAGGAGAAGUCUUAACA